GCGCGGACCAGGGCGCGGAGGUCGGCGGCGACCGCCUCCGCCGGGCGGGCGGCGUCCACCAGGACGCAGCGGGCCGGCUCGGCCUCGGCGAUCGCGCG
rnacentral:tRNA from 1 species